AUGGUGCAUGAGGAGGAGGAGCAGGUGGAGCAACAACAGGAUCCACCAAAGAGGAAGGAAAAAAGAAAAGGGCCAACCAAGAGGUCACAUUCAAGCUUGGAGCAAAGAUUUGAGGAUGUGUGGGCACCAUCAUCAGAUGAGGAGCUAGAUGUAGGUGAUUUGAAGGAGGAAUAUGAUGAUGGAGCUGAGAAUGCACCUUAUAUUCUGCCCAAUGGAAGGAAUAGAAGAGCAUAUAAAGCACAACCAAGGAAGUGGUACAGUGAAGAAAGAGAGAACCCAGAGGAGCAGUUUUGUAGAAAGCUUUGUUUCCUUAAUGUGUACCAAUUUAGGAGAGCACUCCAGACAUUUCACAUAAGUCAGAAUAGGAACUAUGAGUUCCACAAAAACUGCAAUGACAACAUCAUAGUUGUCUGCACUAAUGUUAAAUGUCCUUUCUACAUUGCAGCUUCUGUUCUUGCAAAUGAAAGUACUUUUGGAAUAAGAAAGGCCAAUUUUUUGCACACAUGCCCAGCAGUAGCAAAGAAUACCAAGGUGACAACAAAAUGGGUGGCACACCAGUGUGAGGAUAUGCUGAGAAUUGAUAUUGGCACACUAAUCACCACAAUUAUGCAGAAUUUGAAGAAGAAAUAUGGAGUAGAGAUCAACCCAUAUGGCCUAUAG
rnacentral:rRNA from 1 species